UCACUUUGAACUUUUAAUAUUACAGCAAAUGGACCAAUCAUUUACGAAGGAAAGUUAACAGAGUUUUAAAGGAUUGGAAGAAACAAAGAAACAAACUAAAGAAGGAUACUGAAGUAGUAGGGGCAACAAUGGAAGAUGAGAAAGGACUAGAUGAUGGCAAGGAGCAGGAGUCUAAAGGUAAUUGACCAUAAGCAUUACUUUCCCAGUGAGAAGAACGCAAACCAUUCAGAGCACAGGAGACUGUCCCAGUCAUCUAAACCUGAUGGAGCGUUUUUGAAAGACAAAAAUUAGUUCUUAUUUUUGUCAUGUUUACUUCCAAAUAUAAAAUAAAGUUGAUAGUUUUGUUUUUGUGCAUCAAA